rnacentral:lncRNA from 1 species
ACUGGGUGAGCUAGCUGGGGCAAUGCGGAAGAGUUCACCCUAGUGGUGUGAGUGUGGGAGACCUGGCGGGCUGACCAGCUCAGCGAUCACCUAGGCUCAGAUCCAGGGCUUGGAGUUGGCCCCACCCCAACAUCUACCCCAUCUAUGAACUGCUGGAGCGAGUGAAGAAGCUGGUCCUACGGAUCCAAAGCUGCAGGAUCACCAUGAUAUGGGGCAACAGCAAGAUAUUUGAGAGGAGUCCUGGUGAGGAUCCAGUAUUGAUGGUGUAGCAGAAGCCAGAGGCCUCCAAGCAGACCAAGGACAUAUUAUAAUGAACAUUUGCAAGCAGAAAAGUAUGAACAAAAGGUACUGUGGGACACAUUACAGCUUCCACAAUGAGAUUUCUUUUUCCUUCUGCUGGGGAGGUUGCAAGGGCGGAGGGCAGGUAUGAAGGGACAGAGAGAUGAGUGGAAUUGGGGUGCAUGAUGUGAAAUUCGCAAAGAAUCAAUGAAAAAGAUCACAGAUCAUGUUUGCCUUUGGUGGAGGCGUGGGUAAUGACGGGGCAGCACGAUUGGUGCUUCUCAGGUCUUAAAGUUCUCAGUUUUUAUCUCAGCAGUGAUUAUUUUCAGCAGUGUGUUCAUUUUGUGAAGACUACUAAAAUUGGAUAAUUAUAUUCUGUGUACUUUUCUUGGCUGGAGCUCCUCAUAUAGCUACAUGAGGUCUGCCAAGCACCUAACCCCAGGGACCUUUUGCUGGGGGCAAAUCAGGAGAUGUUAGCUUUGCAACAUGUGUCUUUCUUGUUCUGAUGGUGAUAGUUGAGAUGCAAACGGACAUCUCCCAAUAUGAGUCCAUUUCAAACUCUGCUUCUAUCAUAUCUGCCAGCAAAGCAUUGGCCAAAGCAAGUCACAUGAUGGGAGUAGAGAUUGAGGUGUGGGGCAGAAUACUCCACUUGUGAUGGAAGCAUCCACGCUAUGUCAUAUGGUAAAGGGAACGAAUAUAAAGAGGGCGAUAAUUUGGCCAUCAACACAAUCUACCACAAUGCAGAAGGAAAGGGAAUAAUAAAGACACUACAACAAAACCACCUAGGAAUUAGCAGAGAGUACUUGAGGGGCACAGAAUAGGGCAUUCUCCAUAGUUUAUAGUUCUAGGGAUGGAAUCCAUUAUUUCUUCCCAUCUUAAAAUUAUUCACUCAUAAACGUGUGUGAGUGUGUCCCUUUCAGGGCCAUAAAACUUCUAGUUUGUGCUUCAUUUCCACAUUUCCUCCCCACCCCCUUUUCUUUUCUUUUUUUUUUUUUAAGAUUUAUUUAUUAUUAUAUGUAAGUUCACUGUAGCUGACUUCAAACACACCAGAAGAAGGUGUCAGACCUCAUUAUGGGUAGUUGUGAGCUUCCAUGUGGUUGCUAAGAUUUGAAUUCAGGACCCUCAGAAGAGCAGUCAAUGCCCUUAUACACUGAGCCAUCUCACCAGCCCUUCUUUUCUUUUUUGCAGUUCCUGGCACAGUGCCUUGCCCAGAACAGACAGGGACCUGGACUAUUUUGGUAAUAAAAUUCCAGCCAAAAGGCAGUCAUUAUGUCUUUGCCCAUUUUAUUUCCAGCUCCAGAAGAAAGAAACCCAUAUACACAACAUGGCCUAUCUUUGUAUUUUAUAAACAACUCUGAAAUCUCCUUGCCAGACCCAACCAAAAGGAGAACCAGCAGAUCUAGCCCCGUGACUGAGAAGUGCUAUCGCCAAACUCUGAAGUGCUUGCGUGCAUUGUGUGGCUUUUAACAACAUGGUAAAAUAUGCAUAACAUAAACAGAUCAUUUAAAUAAUUUUCACUGAGUAGUAAUUCAGUGGCGGUAACAACAGAUCACAAUGACAUGUAACUGUCACCUAUCCCUUCCAUCUAAAGUGAUUCUGAGGGUUCAUACUGUAGAUGUACACUGGAUUAUGUCCUCAUUUCCAGAAAACAACAGAAACAUUUGAGAAAUGAUGAGACAUCAUAUUUACAACUUGUUCUCAAAAUGACUAUAUCUUUAUCUGUAUAUAUGAGGAGGGGGGAGGCCAGGGAUGUGGCUUAGUGGUGGAGUACUUGCCUAAGAUAUAUAAAGAAAGGAUGAGGGCUGGAGAGAUGGCUCAGAGGUUAAGAUCACUGGCUGUUCUUCUACAUGGUGGCUCACAACCAUCUGUAAUGGGAUCUAAUGCUCUCUUCCUGUGUGCCUGAAGACAGCUACAGUGUACACAUAUACAUAAAAUAACAAAAAAAAUCUUUAAAAAGGAAAAAAGGAUGAUAAGGAAAAUGUAAAAUGUUAACAAUUGGAACUUUGGGUGAAGGACUGGAACGAGUUAUUUUGUAGAAUUUUAAAAAGAUUUUAUUUUUAUGUGUAUGAUGUAUCAUGUGGGACUUGUACCUGCAGACGUCAGAAGAGGGGGUCAGAUCCUCUGGGUGGAGUUUGGAUUGUUAUAAGUCAUCACAUGGUUGCUUGGAAUUGAACUUUAGUCCUCUGUGAGAACAGCAAAUGCUCUUAACCAUUGAGCCACCUCUGUGGCCCCCAUUUUGUAUAAUUUUUGUAACUUUACUAUCAACUUGAAAUAACUUGGAAAUAGUAGAAGCAUCACUUUUUCAAAAGACAAUUUCAGCAUGUGUGAAAAUAUUCAAGCUAAGUGAAAUAUGUAGAUUACCAAACAAAUGUGCAGUUUAAACUUUGUUGACUGCAUAUAUUUAGUUGGAUAUAUUGCUCAUGCAUGGUUAGUUCAAAAAUAUAGUUCAUAUAUAUUUUAGGAGCGUUAAAAAAAGUAACAAUUAUCAUCUGUUAGUAAGAAAUAGCCUUGCCCAACUUAGAACAAAAGAAAGUUGGCAAGAAUUUGUGUUACCAGAUAUCAAGGCCUACUUGAAAGGUACGUUGAUUGGGGGCUGGAGAAAUGGCUCAGUGGUUAAGAGCUCUUUCUGGGACUCAGGUUCAACUCCCAGCACCAGUACGGCAGCUAACAAUCAUCUGUAACCUUAGUCCCAGAGGAUCAGGUGCCCUUUUCUGGCUUCCUCCAGCACCGCAUGCAUGUGAUUUACAGACAUACAGACAGGUAAAAACAUUCACAUGCAUAAAAUUUUUUGUAAUUAUUCU